AAACAAAUAAUGCAAAUUGAAUGAUUUUCUAUUAUAAUGUCAAUUUUUAUUUUAUAUAGCGUUUUGGGGUUCUUCUAUCACUCAAUCAUCCCCUUUAAGUUUCAACCCCAAGACCAUAAACAACCUGUAUUUCUAGUUACGACAUUACCUUAACAAAGUAGCUGCAUUUCAAGAGUCUUUUAUGUCACUGUCAGUUCGCUACCAGACUAUGGAAGAAUGGAACUUCACAAAAUAAUGCUUAAUAAAAACAAAUUAUUAUUUGGCGAACCAUGGAUUGAUUUCGCACCGCGUUUACACUAAAUGAUGCAACUCAACCUGUGAAACUAAAAAGAGUGCGUCCUGAAGAGAAUAAUGCUGUUGAUGAACAAACUGUCGAAGAAAAUUCACCACCUUGAUUCCGCAACGAACACAACAAAUUAACUUUUGUUCCUCAAAAUUAUUGAAAAUUUUAAGAAAUGUCAAAGUGUAAGGAAAUAAUGAAUAAAUUUCAUUUUCAGUG